rnacentral:rRNA from 1 species
UGCAUUGUAAACUGGGAGACUUGAGUGCAGAGGACGAGAGUGGAACUCCAUGUGUAGCGGUGAAAUGCGUAGAUAUAUGGAAGAACACCGGUGGCGAAAGCGGCUCUCUGGUCUGUAACUGACGCUGAGGUUCGAAAGCGUGAGUAGCAAACAGG